rnacentral:rRNA from 1 species
GCCUACGGGGCGCAGCAGUAGGGAAUCUUCCACAAUGGGCGCAAGCCUGAUGGAGCAACACCGCGUGAGUGAAGAAGGGUUUCGGCUCGUAAAGCUCUGUUGUUGGAGAAGAACGUGCGUGAGAGUAACUGUUCACGCAGUGACGGUAUCCGACCAGAAAGUCACGGCUAACUACGUGCCAGCAGCCGCGGUAAUACGUAGGUGGCAAGCGUUAUCCGGAUUUAUUGGGCGUAAAGCGAGUGCAGGCGGGUUCUU